rnacentral:rRNA from 1 species
UGAGUAACACGUAUCCAACCUGCCGUCUACUCUUGGACAGCCUUCUGAAAGGAAGAUUAAUACAAGAUGGCAUCAUGAGUCCGCAUGUUCACAUGAUUAAAGGUAUUCCGGUAGACGAUGGGGAUGCGUUCCAUUAGAUAGUAGGCGGGAUAACGGCCCACCUAGUCUUCGAUGGAUAGGGGUUCUGAGAGGAAGGUCCCCCACAUUGGAACUGAGACACGGUCCAA